CCUACGGGAGGCAGCAGUGAGGAAUUUUCCGCAAUGGGCGAAAGCCUGACGGAGCAAUGCCACGUGGAGGAGGAAGGCCUGUGGGUCGUAAACUCCUUUUCUCAGAGAAGAAGUUCUGACGGUAUCUGAGGAAUAAGCAUCGGCUAACUCUGUGCCAGCAGCCGCGGUAAUACAGGGGAUGCAAGCGUUAUCCGGAAUUAUUGGGCGUAAAGCGUCCUGAGGUGGCUUACCCAGUCGACUGUGAAAGCUCAAGGCUUAACCUUGAAACGGCAGUCGAAACUUGUAAGCUUGAGUACGGUAGGGGCAGAGGGAAUUCCCGGAGGAGAGGUGAAAUUCGUAGAUAUCGGGAGGAAGGCCAAAGGCGAAAGCACUCUGCUGGGCCGAUUACUGACACUGACAGACGAAAGCUAGGGGAGCGAAAGGGAUUAGAUACCCCGUGUAGUCCUAGCCGUAAACGAUGGAUACUAAGUGUUGCGCGACUCAAACGUGCAGUGCUGCAGCUAACGCGUAAGUAUCCGCUGGGAGUNUGCCGNAAGGUGAACNCAAGAUGACGNNGAGAGNGCGAGACGACGACGAGGAGAG
rnacentral:rRNA from 1 species